CGCCAGGGCCUCGCCUCGCCCUGCAGUUCCUCGCGCGCCACCUCUCAUCUCCGCUUCCUCUCCUGCUCCCGCCGCCGCGACAGGGCCUCGCCUCGCCCUCACCACCCAUCGAUGACCUCCCAGCCCUUGUUCUCCGCUUCAUCACCCUGGCAACCUUGAGCUCGAGCCGAGGAGCGGUCCAUGCCGCGUGGUGGCCCAGAUGUGGCCGCCUAGUGCUCUGCCUCGACGAGCGCGGCCUCGGUCUGGCCUCGGCAGGAGGAGCUCGAGCCGAGGAGUGCAGCCUCGAUCCGGAGUCGGUAGGAGCGCCGGAGUUCAGCGGCAUGGGAGGAGAGGAUCGACAACGGCACAGCAGAGGAGCCCGCUGCUGGUCGGCCCAACGCAUCUACUCCGCUCCGGCCUCCUCUGUUGUGGGCCUUGAGGGCAAGUUGCACCAUUGUUGGCGGGAGGACAAUAUUCGCUUGAAGGCCCAGAAUAUUUAACUGACACUGCUGCAUUUGUUGUCCAUUUUGCCAUCGUGAGCUUCAGGCUGGUCUGAACGCGCUAUUGAUGGCCUUUUCCUCUGGAGUACCAAGAAAAAUAGCAGAUCAUCCCUGUAGUAGAAGCCAUGCAAGCUUCAUGUAAAAUGGUUUUGAAUCGAAACCGAAGCCAUCUGUUGGAAGUAACAUCUGAAGGGACUGAACCUGUAUGCCACUCCCAGUAAUAUAGAGUGAAGGCAAUAACAACAUUGUUUGUUGUUGGUUUAUAAUGGUGCAGGUAACUGGCCAAGCUACUUGGCUCACUUUCGUUGCCUUUUGCAAUUCCUUCUGUGGGAUGUUGUUGUCAUUGUGGGCCUUAAUGCUCGGAGGAGGGUCAGGGGCAUUUGCUGCAUGGGAAGAGGGGCAUCUGUGGGGGUAUUGGCCAGAAGUAGGUAAGGUAAAAAAAACUAGGUUCUAUCUCUGCUACAUCCGAUCAGGCAACUAAAUUUGGUCCCUUUACUCAUUUCUUGUUCACUUACUGUAUGUGAAGCGAUACAAUUUUAUUUCCAUUACUGCAUCUUAAUAUGUUUUAUCGAUUGGUGAAUGCGCAACUUUAGCUCAUAAACUAGAUGGCAAAUGCUAAUUCUGAUGGAGCUUUUGCCACUUGUUGUUUUAUGGUUGUCUAGACAGCUGAUGGCAUGGUUCUUUCUUGCUAAUUGUCAAUUCUUUUGUACAGGGUCCCUCAGCUACUUAUGCUUUGUUAGACAAUGAGGGUAUGUAGAUAGCAUGUAUGGUUUUUACAUUGUUUUGCGCAGGUUGAGAUGCAUCACAUGAUGUUUUCCUUUUACAUUUAUGGGUAUUACAGAGUCCUUUCCUUUUCCACAAGGGGCAGUAGUUGUGCCAUUCGAUUCGAAGGACAAAGAGUUGAUCACAAAGGGGUAGCAUUCAGGAUAUAUACACAAAAGAGUAUAGAACCAAAUUAUAUGAUGUAAUUAACCACUAUUUCUAUCAACUUCUCCUGUCACAAUGUUGACGAGUUCAUGUAUUGAGUACAUUUUAUUGUG